rnacentral:rRNA from 1 species
UGCGUAGGUGGUUGUUUAAGUCUGUUGUGAAAGCCCUGGGCUCAACCUGGGAACUGCAGUGGAAACUGGACGACUAGAGUGUGGUAGAGGGUAGCGGAAUUCCUGGUGUAGCAGUGAAAUGCGUAGAGAUCAGGAGGAACAUCCAUGGCGAAGGCAGCCACCUGGACCAACACUGACACUGAGGCACGAAAGCGUGGGGAGCAAACA